rnacentral:rRNA from 1 species
UACGGGGGGGGCAAGCGUUGUUCGGAAUUACUGGGCGUAAAGGGCUCGUAGGUGGCCAACUAAGUCGGACGUGAAAUCCCUCGGCUUAACCGGGGAAUGGCAUCCGAUACUGGAUGGCUUGAGUUUGGGAGAGGGACGCGGAAUUCCAGGUGUAGCGGUGAAAUGCGCAGAUAUCUGGAGGAACACCGGUGGCGAAGGCGACAUCCUGGACCGGUAUUGACGCUGAGGCGCGAAAGCCAGGGGAGCAAACGGG